AAAAAGUGAAGAAGAAUGAAGGGGAUGUAGAGAGAAAAAGGGAAUAUAACGACAUCUGGAGACUCGGAACGAAAACCAGAUUCGUUUUUUCCUCACAUUUCGCCGUUUGAGCUGGUUUCCGUGGUACAUUAGAUGAGUGAUUGGGUUUGUGAUUUUAAAUUCAUUGACUCGAGAAGACCCGAACUCAAUUGGUUUAAGCUGUGCGCGGGGGU
ensembl:ncRNA C06E8.7 ncRNA